rnacentral:misc_RNA from 1 species
AAGUCGUAACAAGGUCUCCGUAGGUGAACCUGCGGAGGGAUCAUUCACAUGAUUACCUUUUCAACAAACUGUGAACUUUUAUUCCUAUUCGUGUAUGAAAUAGUCUAUCUAUUUUAUUACACUGUCAUUCGAUGAACAUUAGAUAGCUGGCUUGACUUUUAUAGGUCUCUCUCAGCUGAUUGCUUGUAUUGACUAAACAUCUUACAACAAUCACCAUUUCAAACAUAGAAACAACUCUAUGCCUUGGAUAUCUUGGUUCUC